rnacentral:rRNA from 1 species
AACGAACGCUGGCGGCAUGCCUAACACAUGCAAGUCGAACGAGACCUUCGGGUCUAGUGGCGCACGGGUGCGUAACGCGUGGGAACCUGCCCUUAGGUUCGGAAUAACUCCCAGAAAGGGGUGCUAAUACCGGAUAAUGUCUUCGGACCAAAGAUUUAUCGCAUUUGGAUGGGCCCGCGUUUGAUUAGCUAGUUGGUAGGGUAAAAGCCUACCAAGGAGACGAUCCAUAGCUGGUCUGAGAGGAUGAUCAGCCACACUUGGACUGAGACACGGCCCAGACUCCUACGGGAGGCAGCAGUGGGGAAUAUUGGACAAUGGGCGAAAGCCUGAUCCAGCAAUGCCGCGUGAGUGAUGAAGGCCUUAGGGUUGUAAAGCUCUUUUAUCCGGGAUGAUAAUGACAGUACCGGGAGAAUAAGCUCCGGCUAACUCCGUG